rnacentral:lncRNA from 10 species
CCUGCUCUGACUAAGGCAAGGGUUUUCUCCAUCCUCCCCCUCUUGGUUGCCUGUCACUGUUUCUUCCUGCAUCCCGUGGGGUUUCUUCGCUCUCGUCACCUUCUGGGAGAAGAACCCUGGGGAAGAAGCCAAAUGCGGAUGGACAGCAGGAUACACAAUUCUCUAGUGCUCUCAGGGAUGAAAAAAUAAAUAAGCUAAAGUGAAAAUCUUUAAACCACCUGAGCUUAAAACAGGUAUUCUAACUGACUAUUGGGAAAAAGAGGAAGUCAAAGAGCAAACUGAGGAACAUCUAGAGAAUAAAGAAACUGUAAACACUACAUGUAGAUGCUUCAUGAGGAAAGCAGGAGGGAGAAAUUAGGGAAGAUAAAGGAAUAAAUAAAUGAAUUCAGGAAACCAGUGUCAAAGGACUAAUAAACCCACAGGUUCACAAAAAAUAAAAUAGUUAUCUAAUCAGAAAUAGAGAAAAAUGCACAUUUGACAUGAUUUAAAAAACAAGCAGGGGAAAAUCACAGACACAGGAAACAAAUUAUAGAUUUGUAAGAUGCUAAUUUUGCUUAACUUCAAGUGAACUUAAAACUCUGGAUGAAAUGGAUGAUGUUACAAGAAAAUACAAUUUAUCAAAAUAGAUCCUGGAAGAGACAAAAUUUAAGCAAACCGUUACCACAGAAAAAAUAGAGAAGUUUAUCAAAGAACUAUCCUUGCUACCACCAUGGCCCACUUUCACCUUCACCUUCACCCCUAAAAGUUACAAAAGCCCUCCAUGUCUUGCAAGAAAAUUCCACACAAAUGAGUAAUUGACUCAAAUGCUAUUAAUUCUGUCCCAGAGCACAAAAAAGAUGGAAGUCUUCCAAACUCUUUUUAAAAAGUAAACAUAACUUUGAUACCAAAAUCAACAAAGAUAUCACGCACACACACACGACAGACCAAUUUCACAUGCCUUGUUUCUCCCUUAGCUAAGAGAACAAGACAAACUCCAUCUUGGCUCUUUCACUGGCAGCCUCUUCCUCAAGGACUUAACUUGUGCAAGCUGACUCCCAGCACAUCCAAGAAUGCAAUUAACGGAUAAGAUACUGUGGCGAGCUAUAUCCGCAGUGCCCAAGAAUUCGUCUGAUUGAUAACGCCCAAAGCCCUGUGUCUAUCACCUUGUAAUAGUCUUAAAGCCCCUGCACCUGGAACUGUUUACUUUCCUGUAACCAUUUAUCCUUUUACCUUUUUGACUACUUAACUUCUGUAAAAUUGUUUUAACUAGACCCCCCGCCCCCCUUCCUAAACCAAGAUGUAAAAGUUAAUCAAGCCCCUUUCUUGGGGCCAAAUUUUGAGCGUUAGCCGUCUCUCGGUCGCUGGCUAAUAAAGGACUUUUAAUUCAUCUCAAAGUGUGGCGUUUUUCUAACUCGCUCGGGUACAACAUGGGAUCUGAUGCUGUCUCCAGGCAGUGUCAGAAUUGAAUUGAAGGAAGCCAUCUGGUGUCCACUGCAGAACUGAUGGCUUGCUCGGUAUUUGAGGGUGGG